rnacentral:rRNA from 1 species
GAUGAAUGCUAGCUACAGGCUUAACACAUGCAGGUCGCGGGGCAGCAUGGGGGUUGCUUGCCACCCCUGAUGGCGACCGGCGCACGGGUGAGUAACGCGUAUCCAACCUGCCCUUCACCACGGGAUAACCCGGCGAAAGUCGGACUAAUACCGUAUGUUGUCCAUUGACGGCAUCCGAUUUGGACGAAAGGCUGGGCGGUGGAAGGAUGGGGAUGCGUCCGGUUAGCUUGACGGCGGGGUAACGGCCCACCGUGGCUACGAUCGGUAGGGGUUCUGGGAGGAAGGUCCCCCACACUGGAACUGAGACACGGUCCAGACUCAUACGGGAGGCAGCAGUGAGGAAUAUUGGUCAAUGGGCGUAAGCCUGAACCAGCCAAGUAGCGUGCCGGAUGGCGGCCCUAUGGGUUGUAAACUGCUUUUAUGCGGGGAUAAAGUGGCCCACGUGUGGGCUUUUGCAGGUACCGCAUGAAUAAGGACCGGCUAAUUCCGUG